rnacentral:rRNA from 1 species
GACGAACCGUGCGAACGUUGUUCGGAAUCACUGGGCUUAAAGGGAGCGUAGGCGGGCUAUCAAGUCUGGGGUGAAAUCCCACGGCUCAACCGUGGAACUGCCUUAGAUACUGACGGCCUCGAGGGAGAUAGGGGCAUGCGGAACUGUAGGUGGAGCGGUGAAAUGCGUUGAUAUCUACAGGAACUCCGGUGGCGAAAGCGGCGUGCUGGAUCUCUUCUGACGCUGAGGCUCGAAAGCUAGGGGAGCAAACAGG